rnacentral:tRNA from 4 species
CGCGGGGUAGAGCAGCUUGGUAGCUCGUCAGGCUCAUAACCUGAAGGUCGUAGGUUCAAAUCCUACCCCCGCAACCA